rnacentral:lncRNA from 1 species
GAAAAGGGCGAGUCGAUAGGGGAUGGCAUUUCUGUAAGAGAAGGACCCAAAUAAAUCUAGAGGGGUCUGAGUUGACGAAGGGUUUAAGUAUAGUAUAAUCCAGGGAUGGAUGGGAAGGAAGAGGCGAAACCAACACCAUUAGUCAAAAAAAAAAGGGAGGGCCAAGUGGAAAAUAAAAGGAAUCAGAGAAGAUGAAAGAAAGGGAAGCGAAAGAAAAGUUUCAUGGAGGACGAAGAAGAAAUAGAAGAGACAAAAAGAAUGAAAGAUUGGAGAAGAAGAAAGGUCGUUGAAUCGAACCGUCGCGUCGAAGCGAGUUUCGAGGUCGGCUUUAAUAAUGAAUAGACUGCGGUAAUUAAGAUAGCCUAGUUAAUGCCACAGAUGAGACAAAAAUGAGAAUUGAGAUCGGGCUGUAAGAAAGAAAAUAAACGGCUAAAAUUGAACCAUACAGAGGGUCACGCCUCGAAUUACACCUGGUACUGGUACAGAGAUUUUGAAUGCGAUUGGAUCGAGAACGAUGCCUCGGAUCGCGCUUGUUAUCAAAGCAAUUACAGGAUUUCGACAGCGAAAAAAGGGAUGGCUGAGAUGAAACCAUAUUGGGAAUUUGAAAAGUAAUCAUAUCUCAGAUCACGCCAGCUACCGAAGUGUUACUUUGAAAGCUGCCGAGGGAGCAAUUGUUGAGCCAAUUAGGCGCGGAUGAGAUUUAGGUGCGAAUAUUUCCUUCAAAAGCAUCUAUUCGGUCGUGUAUCAAGAGCACCGGAAAAAUGUAUCGCGCCAAUUGAAGGAAGUUACGGUAACCGCAAGCAGUUACAUGCGGUUCUGAUCGGCUAGAAGUGGUGGAGGAGGAGAGAGAGGGAGAGGGCAAAAGAGGCAUCAUCGUCGAAGACGGUAGAGGAAGGUCGGUGAGGAAAAAAAAAAGGAAGUCGCAGUGCUGCCUCAGCGGGGUCGGAGGCGAGGAAGGCGAAGGGUGCACGGACGAGGGGAAGGGCAUGAGGGUGAGAGACGAGGCGGGCUGUUUUCUCCUCUGCCUUUGCCUCCGCUGCCUUCUUCGGAGAGAGAAAAAUAAUAAACGAGUGAAAAAAAAAGAGGAGAGAGCAAAAGUAAUAAGGGUAUUUUGGUUAGUUUACUGAAAAUUCGGACCGAAUGCACAAAAUUGAAAAAGACGGCCCAAUUUUACAAAAGCUCAAAAAUUGUGAAUUUUGUAUG